CGUCGCUGCUCAUCUAUCAGCUGAAAAAUCCGCUGAGACAGCAUUAAAAUAUCAGCUGGAAAAUCAGAUGAGGUCAUGCAUUCCUAGCAUACUAGGCAUUCCAGACAUUCCACACAUUCCGAUGAGGUAAUGCCAGAGGAGCUGACGAACCUAUAAAAGCUUGGCUUCGGACAAGAGAAGGGCUCUUCCUGGUCAGGGCGAUGGCCCUGUUGCUGCCCAGAGUAAAGAACGUCGUUUAGACGAAGAUGGAUUUUUCGUACUUUUUGAGAUUGGACUAAAAUCUACUAAGAUGAAUUUGCAGAGUCAGAAUUGGACUUUGUCAAAUUUUAAGCUUCGAAUUGGACUUUGUCCAAUUUUAAGCUUCGAGGAAGGCAGAGGAGACAGCUGCUUCUGGCAGAAAGGGGAAGACGCCAAUUUUACUUUCUCUUC